GACGCCAUGGUUUCCGUUCGCAGCUGUUCGUCGAAAACCAUGUUUCAUGAUGGUGGAGUCACGUCUGGUUCGGUCAGUUAGCAUCUCUGGAUCGACGAGGCCACAUACAAUACGUGAUGAAUGGUCACUAGGACAAGAGAGAAGUGUCCCUGUGGGACAUGGAGUUUCUUAGGCCAGGCUCAAAUGAUCCUGGAUGAACAGUAAAAUCAUAAAACAUUUUUUUAAAAUUCAAUCUUUGUUUGUGGCAAACAUUAAGAAAUGUUUCGAGUGCUUGCAAAGUUUAAUCACGGAAUACAUUUGUGUAAGUCAUGGCAAGAAAACAAAAUCGAUGCUCCAAAGAUGCUACUUUCGAAAGCAUUUUGAAGCGUUGAUUUUAAUAUAUAUUAUCUUUGCCACGACUUUCACGAAUGUGAUUCCAUGAUGAAAUUUGCAAGCACUCAAAACAUUCCUUAAUAUUUGUCACCAAAAGAAAAACAGAUUAUUUUUCAUAUAUAUUUUUGAUUUUACUGUUCAUGCCAGUAGCAUUUGAGCUCGAGCUCAGAGUAGGACUUUUCGGCCCUGUGCUACUUCCUCAGUGAUCCAAUCAUACACCAUCUUCCUGUGCAAUGGCCAUGGAGUAUCACUGUUAGUUGUGCACUGUGCUGAUGUUCUCAAAGUUGCGACUAGACCAGGUGGAGAACCUCAGAAAAUAGACAGAUAGAUUGGUACUGGUGUUGACGGGCAGCGGAGGGGACCUUAGCUGCUGCUAACCGGAUAACCCCAUCUUUUAUUCGCCUCUUCAAGAGGAAGAGAUGCUGUCACGCACUGUCCGAUCGCGACGUCCUACCAAAACCAAUCACUCUCACAUUCACGGACACAACAGUAACUGCCACCACUAGGGGGUACCCGAAAAAUCGGUGGAUCAACAUGUGGAUUUUCACCCAGACUGGUAAUUUUCACUCACUGCAUCCGUCAGAGGACAUGGCCAAAUUCUGAAUUCCUCCACAGGCCUUGACACAGGCCACUGAGGUCCAGUUCUGAAUAGAGCUACAGCUUUGUAUAUCAUCAGUUAAGUGCAGGAAACAACACACCAACAGAUUUCUCAGUUCCUAAAACAAGAAUUUCCCUCUAAAGAACAGAACAAAUGAAAUCAAAAGGGCUUCAUGAAUAAGUCAAUGUUAAGGAACAGUUUGGUUCGCAGGGCAGUUCCAAUGGGGAACAUAAGGAGCAUAAACAGGAGGACGGAGUGCAUGGUCUUCUCGACGCGUAACUGUGGGGAUCUAUAAGGUCCAUGUUUCCCUGACAUGAACAUUUCCCAACUUCGAUCCUACAACAAUAGAUAUGCGCCGCUUCCGGCGCGGGGGGAGGGGAUCGGAUCCGCGCAAGCCAGCCAGUCAAUCAUCCCCUGCCGUGCAAUCUCUAAAAUGGUGCUGGCUUUGGCGGCAGAUGGACCGGAGGAGGUCGUGUGGGAACUGAAUGGUGCUGAUCACCAUCAACACUUGCCGCAAUAACUUACAAGCUCGAUGAAACUACAUUUCGUCGAGUCAC
rnacentral:lncRNA from 1 species